rnacentral:tRNA from 2 species
GCCCCGCUGGUGGAAUUGGUAGACACAACAGACUUAAAAUCUGUCGCGCAAUGCGUGCCGGUUCGAUCCCGGCGCGGGGCACCA